GGUGGUGGUAGCUCAGUGGUUAAGACAUUGGACUUCUGAUCAGAAGGUCAUUAAUUCAAAUCCCAGCACCACCA